rnacentral:rRNA from 1 species
ACGAACGCUGGCGGCGUGCUUAACACAUGCAAGUCGCACGGAAAGGCCCUGCUUUUGUGGGGUGCUCGAGUGGCGAACGGGUGAGUAACACGUGAGUAACCUGCCCUUGACUUUGGGAUAACUUCAGGAAACUGGGGCUAAUACCGGAUAGGAGCUCCUGCUGCAUGGUGGGGGUUGGAAAGUUUCGGCGGUUGGGGAUGGACUCGCGGCUUAUCAGCUUGUUGGUGGGGUAGUGGCUUACCAAGGCUUUGACGGGUAGCCGGCCUGAGAGGGUGACCGGCCACAUUGGGACUGAGAUACGGCCCAGACUCCUACGGGAGGCAACAGUGGGGAAUAUUGCACAAUGGGCGGAAGCCUGAUGCAGCAACGCCGCGUGCGGGAUGACGGCCUUCGGGUUGUAAACCGCUUUCGCCUGUGACGAAGCGUGAGUGACGGUAAUGGGUAAAGAAGCACCGGCUAACUACGUG